rnacentral:rRNA from 1 species
UGAGGAAUACCGGCGAGAAAUCGCCGACAAUACCGCAUAGGCUUCUCUUCCGCGCGAGCGGAGAGAAGCAAAGCUGGACUCGCGAGAGACCGGCGCUGGAAGAUGGGCCUGUGGCCGAUUAGCUAGUUGGGGAGGUAAGAGCUUCCCAAGGCGACGAUCGGUAGCUGGUCUGAGAGGACGAUCAGCCACACUGGGAUUGAGAACGGCCCAG